CACGGGGGGGAGCAAGCGUUGUUCGGAAUCACUGGGCGUAAAGGGCGUGUAGGCGGUUGGGUAAGUGGAAUGUGAAAUGCCCCGGCUCACCCGGGGACCGGCAUUCCAAACUGCUCAGCUCGAGUAUGGGAGAGGAUGAGGGAAUUCCUGGUGUAGCGGUGAAAUGCGUAGAUAUCAGGAGGAACACCGGUGGCGAAAGCGACUCAUCUGGCCCGAACAUACUGACGCUGAGGCGCGAAAGCUAGGGGAGCAAAACGGG
rnacentral:rRNA from 1 species